GGAUGAAGAACGUAGCAAACUGCGAUAAGUAGCGUGAAUUGCAGACGCUUUGAACGUUAAACUUUCGAACGCACAUUGCGCCGUAGGAGUCCUACCCUGCGGCACAUCUGGUUGAGGGUCGUGAUCAAAAACAGCAGGACUAUGGCUGUAAUAGAAAUAGCUGGUGAAUCACGAGUUCGGCCUACCGCCUCUGGCCGAACGUGUUUUGCCAUAAUGCUAGCAGAGGACAAUCGCUCUUCUUCGGAGAGAGAUUGCCUACCACACGGAUGAUCUACUAGCUGAAGCUAUAGGUCUCGGUCACCGGGUAUCAUGCUUAUAUACCCGCUGUGGCGUCUGAGACACAGCUAGUGGGCGUUCAUACGUGCCUGGUAUUGAGAGUAUUCGCUCUCCCGACCUCAACUCAGGUGUGAUUACCCGCUGAACUUAAGCAUAUCAAUAAGCGGAGGA
rnacentral:misc_RNA from 1 species